CCUACGGGAGGCAGCAGUGAGGAAUAUUGGUCAAUGGGCGAGAGCCUGAACCAGCCAAGUAGCGUGCAGGAUGACGGCCCUAUGGGUUGUAAACUGCUUUUAUAAGGGAAUAAAGUGAGUCUCGUGAGACUUUUUGCAUGUACCUUAUGAAUAAGGACCGGCUAAUUCCGUGCCAGCAGCCGCGGUAAUACGGAAGGUCCGGGCGUUAUCCGGAUUUAUUGGGUUUAAAGGGAGCGCAGACGGGUCGUUAAGUCAGCUGUGAAAGUUUGGGGCUCAACCUUAAAAUUGCAGUUGAUACUGGCGUCCUUGAGUGCGGUUGAGGUGUGCGGAAUUCGUGGUGUAGCGGUGAAAUGCUUAGAUAUCACGAAGAACUCCGAUUGCGAAGGCAGCUCACUGGAGCGCAACUGACGCUGAAGCUCGAAAG
rnacentral:rRNA from 1 species